UGGUGCAAAGCCUCCACCCCUAGCCCACUGUCACCCCCUCGUUUUGCGAGACAGUGAUACAAUAGUCAAUAUAAACAUUCGUAGCAACCGUUUUUUUUUGUGACAGCCUGGACCUACACGGUAAUUUUGCAACAAAAAAAAGGACCGUGUGUAUCCAACAGGGGCUGUUUUCAUCAAGGAUGAUGUCAUCCACUGAGUCAGGAACAGAUGUUCCUAAACUACAUCGCCUUUUCAUCAAGUUUGACCCAGAGGUUGUAGCGGAGGCUGCUGAGGGGAGGACGGCUCAUAAUAAUGUCUGGAAGAGAGCGAAUGGAAUGGCAUCAAAGACAUGGAAACCAUGUUGUUUUAUUUCUCUCUAUACUUUUUUCUCCUUACCAUACCAUCCCUACCCUAAUUGGAGUAAACUAAUGGACAACGACAAAAUGUUUACUGCUACUUACAGCUAUCUUGCUCACAUCUACGGUAGCUGUAGUUAAGAAAUUAUACAUAUAUUCCUAAUUUCUUCAAGUGCUGGAUUCUCACCCGCAGCGGCCAAUCCACCACUCAUUCUGAUCUUAACUCCAACCCUACGAUAUCCACAGAUUUCCCUAUCUUUCCCAGUAUAAUGCUAUUUCCUUUUGCAAUACACCCCUUCAAUUUUACUAUGAUGUCUUACGAGGGUCCUGAAUCUAACUAUUUCUAACAUUUCUACCGAUAUUGCCCUAAAAAUAAAUACUUUACUCGAGUAUAAUGAUAUUUCCCAUUGACUGCAUGUUUUUUCAGAUCCCCUAACAAUACAGUUUGCAGGUCCAUCUGAACCCUGAUAUUAUGACAUAACAACCAUUCCUGAACCAGAAAAUAUAUUCUAUUGAUUCUGUUUUCUCGUGGCAAAGUCUGCACAAGGCUGACUGUUCAAUGCCCCAUAUACUCUAUUGAGCAUUAUUUUUGUUGCAAGUAUUUAUAUAAUAGCUUAAAUUGAAGUGAAGGGAUUGAUGUGUCAAUUGUGGAUUUAUUUAUUUUAUUUAACUUUUAUUUAACUAGGCAAUACAUUGAGCUCCAAAACUAUUGGGAUUUUGACCAUUUUUGUUGUUGUUUUGUCUCUGUACUCCAGCACUUUCGAUUAGAAGUGACACAGUGAUGAUGGUGUUAAAUUGGAGACUGUCAGCUUUCAUUUGAAGGGUGUUUUCAUUCAUAUCAGGUGAACCGUUUAGAAGUUACAGCACUAUUUGUACAUAGUACCCCCAUUUAGGGGACCACUUACGGUACCUAUCAAAAGUUUGGACACACCUACUCAUUCCAGC